rnacentral:misc_RNA from 1 species
UUUCCGUAGGUGAACCUGCGGAAGGAUCAUUAACGAGUAAGGUUCAUUCUGGCCCGACCUCCAACCCUUUGUUUAUUUACUAUGUUGCUUUGGCGGGCCCGUUUCACGACCGCCGGAACUCCUCGGCCUUCUCGCCCGGGCCCGCCAAUAGCCUUCUACAAACUCUUGAUCUAUUGUGUUGUCUGAGUAAUAAAUUUAAUAGUUAAAACUUUCAACAACGGAUCUCUUGGUUCUG